GUGACGAUGCGACGCUGCGUGGAGGAUGAAGGCUUUCGGGUUGUAAACUCCUGUCAUGAGGGAAAAGCCGCACGGAUGUUAAUACCAUUUGUGCCCGAUGGUACCUCAAGAGGAAGCGACGGCUAACUACGUGCCAGCAGCCGCGGUAAUACGUAGGGUGCGAACGUUGUUCGGAAUCACUGGGCAUAAAGGGCGCGUAGGCGGUCUGAUAAGUCAGGUGUGAAAUCCCUCGGCCUAACCGAGGAACUGCAUUUGAUACUGUCAGGCUAGAGUACAGGAGGGGAGAGUGGAAUUCCUGGUGGAGCGGUGAAAUGCGUAGAUAUCAGGAGGAACGCCGGCGGCGAAAGCGACUCUCUGGCCUGUUACUGACGCUGAGGCGCGAAAGCUAGGGGAGCAAACGGGAUUAGAUACCCCGGUAGUCCUAGCCCUAAACGAU
rnacentral:rRNA from 1 species